rnacentral:rRNA from 1 species
CCUACGGUGGCAGCAGUGGGGAAUAUUGGGCAACGGGCGCAAGCCUGACCCAGCAACGCCGCGUGAAGGAAGAAGGCUUUCGGGUUGUAAACUUCUUUUAAGGGGGAAGAGCAGAAGACGGUACCCCUUGAAUAAGCCACGGCUAACUACGUGCCAGCAGCCGCGGUAAUACGGAGGUGGCACGCGUUGUCCGGAUUUACUGGGUGUAACGGGCGUGCAGCCGGAGAGACAAGUCAGAUGUGAAAUCCACGGGCUCAACCCGUGAACUGCAUUUGAAACUGUUUCCCUUGAGUGUCGGAGAGGUAAUCGGAAUUCCUUGUGUAGCGGUGAAAUGCGUAGAUAUAAGGAAGAACACCAGUGGCGAAGGCGGAUUACUGGACGAUAACUGACGGUGAGGCGCGAAAGCGUGGGGAGCAAACAGGAUUAGAUACCCUUGUAGUC